AAUAGCAACCAAUGACUUUUCCUAUUUUCUCACUUGGAAUCUGUUUUGGGAGCUUGGAAUUGCUAUCUAACUGAAUCAGUAACAUCUGUGACUACGGGGCAGCUUGAGUGGGAAUAGUUAGAGGGUUAGACAGAUUUCCUGCAUUUUAAGGUUCUUUUCCUCUGAAGAGAUUGCUUUGGGACAAUUACAUUUAAUGCCUAUUUCUUUCUCUCCCCCCCCCCCCCUCCUCUCUAAGUUGGUUGGGUUUAAGAAGUAAAGUGACUUUAAGGAACCACACCAGCAUUUUGAAAAGUUUCAGUUUCAAAUACAUGAAAAGAAAAGUCUGAAGGGAUUCCUAGAGCUGUAUUGCAGCUUGCAGAUCAUUAUGAAUAUGUAGAACAGCACUGGUUCCAGUACAGUUUUAUGGAAGAAACCACUAUUUACCUCUAUCCUGAAAAAUAGCCGUUUUCCCUACCCGUUGCUUCCUGACUUUUAACAAGGUUGAGUUUCAAGCAAUUGAUAAUCCCUUCAUGAGCAGUUCUCCUGUCAUGGUGCAUUUUUCAAUAAGAAGUGCAAAGACUGAUCCUAGGAUUGCAUGGAACAUGGGGCUUGACCUAUUGGAAGGACAGUCACAUCCAAUUACCUUGGAUACCUCUAAGACUCUGGACAAUGAUAACCUCGAUGCUGUUUUAGUUGCUGGUGGUGGGAAGACCACCAUAUGGAGGAAUCGCAGUUGAAGGUACAUUGUAUCACAGAUGGGCAUGGAAGAGUGUGAUCUGUCCUGUUGAACUGACUAUUCAAUUUUGAACAGGUUGCUUAACUUUGAUGUUCACGGUGAGCUUCUUAGAACAAAGUACCAAGACUCCUACACCCAGCCACUUCUUUGGGCCAGGUUUAAUAUUUUGUUUCUUUUUUUCAGAUGUUCUGGAUAAAAUAGCUAAAGUUCCCUGACGCUAAAAGAAUCUGUAAAAUUUGUAUUUACUGUUUGAUUCACCUGUCCCUCCAGCUCUCUGAAAUACUUAACGUGGCCUUAUUUUAGAGAUGCAUUGGCAACUACUGAUCUGAAUAUCCAUGAACUUUGAAGAAGUUCAGAUUUGCAUCUAAUUCAGACUUUGUAACACUGAUUCCCUAAUAAUUUCACUGUGAAGAAUUUUUUAGGAGUGCAUAUGUAGCCUCUCCUGAAGCCUCAGUUACUUUGCUUCCAGACAUCCAUGCAUUAAAUUCAUAGAACCUUAGCAAAUAUACGCCCACAGUGCUUUGUAGACACAAAUGUCUCUUGAGUAGAGCUGAUUAAAACAUGGAAUUUCUAUCCAGAGGAAGUUCCUGGGACUACAGACAGCUUGUCAAAAAAAUGGAUAUCACAAAGAAUCACCUCCAAUCUACUGACACCGAGUUCCCAGAUAAUGAGUUUAUGAACAUGAUUUCUAAAUCAUGUUUCUUUUCCUCUUCUCCUGGGUAUGUAUGAAACUGUCAGGCUAAAUUAAACUUUAUAAGUUAAUUGAAAAAGAUCUAAUAUUCCACUCCUUACAGAUUUUAUGAUGUGGGGAAGCUAAUUUUCACAGCAUGAAAAGCUUUAAAAAACAUCUUGCUAUUCCUAUGCUGACAUCUUUCACUCAGUGCUACAGUGCAUUUUGUGAGCACAUCACUGUUUUAGAUUUUCACCAAUCAGCUAACAACAGAGGAGAGUGCCAGUUUCUUCAUCACUGGGAAGAAUCUAAUGGGCACGUUAACUGCAUGUACUCAUUAUGCUGGAAGGUGGUAUUUUUAUCCUUGAGGAUCUGCAGUCUUACAAAGUCAGGUAAUGCAGUUGGGUUCCACCUUUAUCAACAAAAAUCUCUGCAUUGCAAAUAAUUAUUCUGUUUCUAAAGAAUUAACAGUGGUAUGUUUCUCUAGUGACUUUUUUCCCCCUAAAAAUUCCAUUACAUUUAUUUCGUCAUCAAUUUUAGAGUGCACUUAGGAAACAAGGCUAUCUACAUUGAACACUGAUCAGCUGUCUAUUAUUGGAAAGUAUUUGGAGUAUUAAGUUCUUCACCUAUUAGAGGUAAGGACAUAAACGUCUUAUUUCAUGUCUUGCAAGACCUUUUCACAAUCAUGCACACAUGGAAUAUUUUCUCUCUCUUCACUGAUAAUAUAAACAAUUGAGAUUCAGGUCAAUGACUUGACUCUCUUACUUACCUCUGAACCACUGAAUAAUCAUAAUCCCAAUCCUCAACUGGUGUAAAUCAGUGUCACUCAUUGAAUCCAAUGGAGUGAUAUUGUUUUAUGAUGGCUGAGGAUCUAGACCAGUAUGCUAAGAUUAAACAGAAACAUCUCACGGGAUCAUUUGUAUGAGGUGGGCAUUGCUAGACCUUAGUCCUUCCCCCCCACCUUCUAUUUAUAGGUUUCUAAUUUUCACUACUUAAUGAAUAUCACUUUUCAUUACAAUUAUGUUAAAAGGUACCAGCAUGAUGAUUCAGAAACCCUUGAAGAUAUAGUCAUAUUUUCAGCAACAGAUGGAUUUAACACUGCAGAUGGAGUGUUAAGAGUGCAGGAGGUGAAAUAGGACAUAACACUUGUAUGGAUACCUUGACCCUCAGAAUCUCAGAUGGAGAGGCUGGUAAAGUGGAUAGUUGUUUUGCUAAACCUCUCUCUCCACUUCACACCACUUCCUAGUCUAGGAUCUGAACAUCCCAGUUCUCUCCAUCAACAACCAACAUCCCACAAUUCAUCUGGAUGGACCACAUUGGAGCAGAGAUACCUUCCUGAAGAUGAGACACAUCGCCACUUAACACAUAAUUGAUAAUUGAUGUCUGCUUGUUUAAAUACUUGUUUUACUAGAAACACUAUGUAACUUUAUAUUAUUGCUCUUAUUUUGCCAGGGGGUCCAGGAUUUCCCCCCUCCUCCCCAUCACUUGAUCUGCCCAUUGAGCAUCCUAUAUAAUUAGUUGUAACCUAUUGUUUGGCAGUGUUCACUGAGCAUAACAAGUGAUGUGACACUCCGCCAGUAUUGUGUGUUAAUAAAUCCUUCUGCUUGCUUCAUA